rnacentral:rRNA from 1 species
GACGAACGCUGGCGGCGUGCCUAAUACAUGCAAGUUGAGCGAUGAAGAUUGGUGCUUGCACCAAUUUGAAGAGCAGCGAACGGGUGAGUAACGCGUGGGGAAUCUGCCUUUGAGCGGGGGACAACAUUUGGAAACGAAUGCUAAUACCGCAUAACAACUUUAAACAUAAGUUUUAAGUUUGAAAGACGCAAUUGCAUCACUCAAAGAUGAUCCCGCGUUGUAUUAGCUAGUUGGUGAGGUAAAGGCUCACCAAGGCGAUGAUACAUAGCCGACCUGAGAGGGUGAUCGGCCACAUUGGGACUGAGACACGGCCCAAACUCCUACGGGAGGCAGCAGUAGGGAAUCUUCGGCAAUGGACGAAAGUCUGACCGAGCAACGCCGCGUGAGUGAAGAAGGUUUUCGGAUCGUAAAACUCGGUUGGUAGAGAAGAACGUUGGUGAGAGUGGAAAGCUCAUCAAGUGACGGUAACUACCCAGAAAGGGACGGCUAACUACGUG